UUAAAUUGAAGAGUUUGAUCAUGGCUCAGAUUGAACGCUGGCGGCAGGCCUAACACAUGCAAGUCGAACGGUAACAGGAAGAAGCUUGCUUCUUUGCUGACGAGUGGCGGACGGGUGAGUAAUGUCUGGGAAACUGCCUGAUGGAGGGGGAUAACUACUGGAAACGGUAGCUAAUACCGCAUAACGUCGCAAGACCAAAGAGGGGGACCUUCGGGCCUCUUGCCAUCGGAUGUGCCCAGAUGGGAUUAGCUAGUAGGUGGGGUAACGGCUCACCUAGGCGACGAUCCCUAGCUGGUCUGAGAGGAUGACCAGCCACACUGGAACUGAGACACGGUCCAGACUCCUACGGGAGGCAGCAGUGGGGAAUAUUGCACAAUGGGCGCAAGCCUGAUGCAGCCAUGCCGCGUGUAUGAAGAAGGCCUUCGGGUUGUAAAGUACUUUCAGCGGGGAGGAAGGGAGUAAAGUUAAUACCUUUACUCAUUGACGUUACCCGCAGAAGAAGCACCGGCUAACUCCGUGCCAGCAGCCGCGGUAAUACGGAGGG
rnacentral:rRNA from 1 species